AACGAACGCUGGCGGCAGGCCUAACACAUGCAAGUCGAGCGAGGACUUCGGUCCUAGCGGCGGACGGGUGAGUAACGCGUGGGAACGUGCCCUUUGCUUCGGAAUAGCCCUGGGAAACUGGGAGUAAUACCGGAUGAGCCCUUUGGGGGAAAGAUUUAUCGGCGAAGGAUCGGCCCGCGUUGGAUUAGGUAGUUGGUGGGGUAAUGGCCUACCAAGCCGACGAUCCAUAGCUGGUUUGAGAGGAUGAUCAGCCACACUGGGACUGAGACACGGCCCAGACUCCUACGGGAGGCAGCAGUGGGGAAUCUUAGACAAUGGGGGAAAACCUGAUCUAGCCAUGCCGCGUGAGCGAUGAAGGCCUUAGGGUUGUAAAGCUCUUUGAGCUGGGAAGAUAAUGACGGUACCAGCAGAAGAAGCCCCGGCUAACUCCGUG
rnacentral:rRNA from 1 species